UUGAACGCUGGCGGCAUGCUUUACACAUGCAAGUCGAACGGCAGCGGGGGCUUCGGCCUGCCGGCGAGUGGCGAACGGGUGAGUAAUGCAUCGGAACGUGCCCGAUCGUGGGGGAUAACGCAGCGAAAGCUGCGCUAAUACCGCAUACGAUCUGAGGAUGAAAGCGGGGGACCGUAAGGCCUCGCGCGAUCGGAGCGGCCGAUGUCAGAUUAGGUAGUUGGUGGGGUAAAGGCUCACCAAGCCGACGAUCUGUAGCUGGUCUGAGAGGACGACCAGCCACACUGGAACUGAGACACGGUCCAGACUCCUACGGGAGGCAGCAGUGGGGAAUUUUGGACAAUGGGGGCAACCCUGAUCCAGCCAUUCCGCGUGAGUGAAGAAGGCCUUCGGGUUGUAAAGCUCUUUCAGCAGGAACGAAACGGUGGCCAAUAAUACUGGCUACUAAUGACGGUACCUGAAGAAGAAGCACCGGCUCACUACGU
rnacentral:rRNA from 1 species